rnacentral:tRNA from 2 species
GCCUAGGUGGUGGAAUUGGUAGACACGCUAGCCUUAGGAGCUAGUGCCAUUUUGGUGUAAGGGUUCAAGUCCCUUCCUGGGCACCA